rnacentral:tRNA from 1 species
GGUAGCGUGGCCGAGUGGUCUGAGGCGCUUGUUUCAGGCACCAGUCAUUUCGAUGACGUUGGUUCGAAUCCCACCGCUGCCA